UACAGGGGGGGCAAGCGUUGUCCGGAAUUAUUGGGCGUAAAGAGCUCGUAGGCGGUUUCGUAAGUCGGAUGUGAAAACUCCAGGCUCAACUUGGAGACGCCAUUCGAUACUGCGAUGACUUGAGUCCGGUAGGGGAGUGUGGAAUUCCUGGUGUAGCGGUGAAAUGCGCAGAUAUCAGGAGGAACACCGGCGGCGAAGGCGGCACUCUGGGCCGGUACUGACGCUGAGGAGCGAAAGCGUGGGUAGCAAACAGG
rnacentral:rRNA from 1 species